rnacentral:rRNA from 1 species
CUAUACAUGCAAGUCGAACGAACUCUGGUAUUGAUUGGUGCUUGCAUCAUGAUUUACAUUUGAGUGAGUGGCGAACUGGUGAGUAACACGUGGGAAACCUGCCCAGAAGCGGGGGAUAACACCUGGAAACAGAUGCUAAUACCGCAUAACAACUUGGACCGCAUGGUCCGAGCUUGAAAGAUGGCUUCGGCUAUCACUUUUGGAUGGUCCCGCGGCGUAUUAGCUAGAUGGUGGGGUAACGGCUCACCAUGGCAAUGAUACGUAGCCGACCUGAGAGGGUAAUCGGCCACAUUGGGACUGAGACACGGCCCAAACUCCUACGGGAGGCAGCAGUAGGGAAUCUUCCACAAUGGACGAAAGUCUGAUGGAGCAACGCCGCGUGAGUGAAGAAGGGUUUCGGCUCGUAAAACUCUGUUGUUAAAGAAGAACAUAUCUGAGAGUAACUGUUCAGGUAUUGACGGUAUUUAACCAGAAAGCCACGGCUAACUACGUGCCAGCAGCCGCGGUAAUACGUAGGUGGCAAGCGUUGUCCGGAUUUAUUGGGCGUAAAGCGAGCGCAGGCGGUUUUUUAAGUCUGAUGUGAAAGCCUUCGGCUCAACCGAAGAAGUGCAUCGGAAACUGGGAAACUUGAGUGCAGAAGAGGACAGUGGAACUCCAUGUGUAGCGGUGAAAUGCGUAGAUAUAUGGAAGAACACCAGUGGCGAAGGCGGCUGUCUGGUCUGUAACUGACGCUGAGGCUCGAAAGUAUGGGUAGCAAACAGGAUUAGAUACCCUGGUAGUCCAUACCGUAAACGAUGAAUGCUAAGUGUUGGAGGGUUUCCGCCCUUCAGUGCUGCAGCUAACGCAUUAAGCAUUCCGCCUGGGGAGUACGGCCGCAAGGCUGAAACUCAAAGGAAUUGACGGGGGCCCGCACAAGCGGUGGAGCAUGUGGUUUAAUUCGAAGCUACGCGAAGAACCUUACCAGGUCUUGACAUACUAUGCAAAUCUAAGAGAUUAGACGUUCCCUUCGGGGACAUGGAUACAGGUGGUGCAUGGUUGUCGUCAGCUCGUGUCGUGAGAUGUUGGGUUAAGUCCCGCAACGAGCGCAACCCUUAUUAUCAGUUGCCAGCAUUAAGUUGGGCACUCUGGUGAGACUGCCGGUGACAAACCGGAGGAAGGUGGGGAUGACGUCAAAUCAUCAUGCCCCUUAUGACCUGGGCUACACACGUGCUACAAUGGAUGGUACAACGAGUUGCGAACUCGCGAGAGUAAGCUAAUCUCUUAAAGCCAUUCUCAGUUCGGAUUGUAGGCUGCAACUCGCCUACAUGAAGUCGGAAUCGCUAGUAAUCGCGGAUCAGCAUGCCGCGGUGAAUACGUUCCCGGGCCUUGUACACACCGCCCGUCACACCAUGAGAGUUUGUAACACCCAAAGUCGGUGGGGUAACCUUUUAGGAACCAGCCGCAU